UACAGAGGGUGCGAGCGUUAAUCGGAAUUACUGGGCGUAAAGCGUGCGUAGACGGUUGCGUAAGUCGGAUGUGAAAUCCCCGGGCUCAACCUGGGAAUUGCAUUCGAGACUGCGUAGCUGGGGUGCGGAAGAGGGAAGCGGAAUUUCCGGUGUAGCGGUGAAAUUCGUAGAUAUCGGAAGGAACAUCAGUGGCGAAAGCGGCUUCCUGGUCCAGCACCGACGUUCAGGCACGAAAGCGUGGGGAGCAAACAGG
rnacentral:rRNA from 1 species